AAGUCGUAACAAGGUUUCCGUAGGUGAACCUGCGGAAGGAUCAUUAAAGAAUCGCCCCGUUUUUUGAAAUGGGUUCUAUUCCCAAACCGUGUAUAUAUACCUUUGUUGCUUCGGCAGGCCGCCUUCUAGGCGUCGGCUCCGGCUGACUGCGCCUGCCAGAGGACCCAAACUCAUUUGUUUAGUGAUGUCUGAGUACCAUAUAAUAGUUAAAACUUUCAACAACGGAUCUCUUGGCUCUC
rnacentral:misc_RNA from 1 species